GGGGGUUAAAGUGUGGAUGAAAACUCCUUCCACCUGAAGUAAGUGACUUCAGGUGGAAGCGAUUUUCAUCCACACUAUGUUCCCCACCACAACUCU